rnacentral:rRNA from 1 species
UACGGAGGGUGCAAGCGUUAUCCGGAUUCACUGGGUUUAAAGGGUGCGUAGGCGGAUAGGUAAGUCCGUGGUGAAAUCCUGCAGCUUAACUGCAGAACUGCCAUGGAUACUAUUUAUCUUGAAUGUCGUGGAGGUUAGCAGAAUAUGUCAUGUAGCGGUGAAAUGCUUAGAUAUGACAUAGAAUACCUAUUGCGAAGGCAGCUUACUACACAGAUAUUGACGCUCAUGCACGAAAGCGUAGGGAUCAAACAGG